rfam:Ictidomys tridecemlineatus contig052860, whole genome shotgun sequence.
GCCGGUCGUGGUGGUGCGAGCCUGUAGUCCCAGCUACUCAGGAGGCUGAGGCAGGAGGAUUCCUUGAGCCCAGGAGUUCUGGGCUAUAGUGCAGCUAUGCCGAUCGGGUGUCAGCACUGAGUUCUGCAUCAAUAUGGUGACCUCCUAGGAGCGGAGGGGCCACCAGGUUGCCUAAGGAGGGGUGAACCGGCCCAGAUCGGAAAUGGAGCUGAUCAAAUGAUGCUGGAGACUUUUGUAAUCCUCUCAUUGUGGGCUUUGAGUGGCUCCUUUUGAUUUUUUUUUUUCUU